rnacentral:lncRNA from 1 species
AAAGAGAGGAACUCACCUGGAUAAUCUUUUUUUACGGUCAUCUUCUCCGACGAAGGUAGACCCAAAAUCCUUCAAUCGUUUGCAUUUAAGUAACUGGUGUGUAAAGACUAAAUAGGGGAACAUUUCCCCUAGGUUUUCAGGGUCGUUUGUUAUGAUUCCUCCAUUUAAUUUCAUUUCCUAUUUCUAGGGUUCAUGUUUUUUUCCUUCGAUUCGAUCAGAUGGUUAGAAAAUGUUUAAUGUGAGUUCAGGGUUUGUGAUCAGUCAACUAAGAGGUUGAGUUUGGUGGGUCUGCGAUGAUGGUUGGAGCUCCGCUGCCGCCGACGAUGAGACCUGAUUUUCACUUCCUUUGGUGUUCGUGGGCUUAGUCCUACUAGGCUUCCUUUCCACACCUUCCUUUUGCUUACCCCAUCCUGGCCCAUUUCUCCUAUUUUGAUUCAUAUUUUUUUUAAUUUAUUCCUUUUUUAUA